CGAGGGAGUGUGAGAGAAAGGUGGGGGCGAGAAGAGAGGAAGGGAGCGAGGGAAAGAGCAAACAGGGAUUAGCAGAAGAGAGUGAGAGAGAGGAAGGAGUAUCCUUGAGCUGCAGGUUACACAUAGAACAGCACAGCAGUCUCAGCAAGUGAACCGCUGGCUGGAAUAUCACAGGUUGCAGAGCCUCAUCUGAUUGAUCUGCUCUUGAGAGACGACCACAGCCAUGGAACAAGCUGAGAAUAAAGUUUCAGCCACCUCCCCACAAAAGCAGACGGUCAAAAACAGGUCCAAGUCUACAGACGAGGUGCAGCAAGCCAAGAAGGCCUUUCACACACCACAGAAGUCUCUUCCAGCGAAGCCAGAGACAGAGAGGCUGGAGGAGACCGCAGAGCUAAGCGCUUCAUCAGAGGAGCUGAAAUGAUGGCAGCGCUCACGCCGGGGUGACGGGGAUAUAGAUAGAUUGGAAGAAAAUAUGUCUUGUUUAUAUCACUGUAACAAACAGCAAUGACAUUUUAAUGUAUUAUUCAUUAGCCAGACUAAAGAACAGAGCACGUCAAAAUUCAGCUGCGCGACGGAGGAUACCGGCUUUAAGGGCCUCUUUCCCUCUCAGACUUAAGACUUACUCCCAGCCUAAACAGAUGCUUAUAGUAGACAGUCAUCAGCUCUAAUUAUAUGCUUUGUUUUUUACCCUUUUUUAUAUGUAUUUAUUUAUAUAUUUAUUUAUUGUGUCAUUAAUGUUUGAACAAAAUACUUUAACAAACUGCUUUGAAGAAAAAAGAGAAUUGUUGGACCAACUUAAACAAACAAAACAAAACUUAAAUUGUUAAAAUGUAAUUCAAUUAAUAAAACAAGUGGAAUAAACACAGUAGUUUUAAAUUAGUUUUUAAAUUAACAGUUAAAUGGUUAAACCAUUAAAGAUGGAACUAAAAGGGUAACUAAACCCCCCUUAUUUUUGCUGACUCCACCCUCAGCUCAAUUUAGAAAUAGACUAAAAAAAUGUGAGGGGUGUUUUGAGAGGGAGACUGGGUGAUGUAUGGGUUUAGAGGCAGGGCAGGAGGGAGAGCUGAUUGGCUGAGCUGCAGCAGCAGCAGUGUGCCUCUGAUAAAGUACACGGACGCAUCAUUGUUGUCUACAAUGAUAGUUGAACCUGAGAGAGCACUGCAGAGGCGAAAAUUAACACAAUAAAAAACAAUAUUUUUUUUUAAAGCAAUUUAAGCCGGACGGGUGUGUUUCAUAAUAAAACAUUAAUUUUACUACACAAACAUAAGACAAACUGUUACCAUAUUUGAUUGAAAUAUGUGUAUCUCCACUAUUAAUUUUUGAGUUUAUCCCACAUUUCUGUAGUAUUUAAGUUAGGACAACUUAAUUGAUUCAAGUACUAGGGCUUAGAUUUCACACCGUUCUUAUUCAGAAUAUUACAUUACUUUAACUACUGCCCUUUUUCAGUUUGAAAGAAUCCUUAUUCAUUUUUUAGAAGCAAACCCAGUCAUUUUAAAUGUUAAAAAGUUUCUU